GGCGUCAGGAUGAACGCUGCGGCGUGCCUAACACAUGCAAGUCGAACGAAGCAUAUUGGAAUGAGACUCGGUCAAGGAAGGUAUGACUAGUGGCGGACGGGUGAGUAACGCGUGAGCAACCCGCCUCAGAGUGGGGGACGAACAGCUGGAAACGGCUGCUAAUACCGCAUGACAUACUUGAAGGCAUCUUCGGGUAAUCAAAGCUCUAUGUGCUCUGAGAUGGGCUCGCGUCUGAUUAGCUAGAUGGUGAGGUAACGGCUCACCAUGGCGACGAUCAGUAGCCGGACUGAGAGGUUGAACGGCCACAUUGGGACUGAGAUACGGCCCAGACUCCUACGGGAGGCAGCAGUGGGGAAUAUUGGUCAAUGGGGGAAACCCUGAAACCCAGCAACGCCGCGUGAAGGAAGAAGGCUUUCGGGUUGUAAACUUCUUUUAUCUGAGACGAUAGUGACGGUAUCAGAUGAAUAAGCUACGGCUAACUACGUGCCAGCCGCAGC
rnacentral:rRNA from 1 species